UUCUGGGGCCAGUCUAGGGAGAGUCUUGUGUACAAAACCUGAGCGGACAGUGUUAAAUUUCAGCUCUGGAUUGCUGAGAAGUUGGCCCCUCUGCAGUGAGUGGCGGGCAGGAAGGGGAGGGCCUAACUGGGCGCAGGGGAGCUGGGCGCGGACUCAGGGCUGGGUCGGAAAAGCUGCCUCACUGAGCUGUCUGGCUCCACCCGCCCUGAGCUCUAGCCGGGGCCUCCCUUACAAUUUCGUUGCGCUUUCCCGGAAGCUGCGCCCGCAGCAUUUUCAUCAAAAAAAUGUCCCAGUCCGGCCCGAAGCCCGCCGGCUCUCCCAGGCCCCCGCACGGCGCGGCAGCUCGCCACUCCCAGGAGCAUGUUAAUGAAAAGAAUAUUGGACCAUCUUCUAAACCAACAGAAAAGAAAGGAUCUGAUGAGAAAAAAGCAGCAAGUUUGGGAAGCAGUCAGCCUUCCAGACCACAUGUUGGUGGAGCAGCCACAGCGACUAAGGUGGGAGCUUCGUCUGCUGCCACCAGCAGACUUCCUAGUAUGAGUACUACAGAAGCUAAGGCUGUGAAAACAGAGUCUGAGAAGUCACAAUCAAGUGAGUCACCUGUGGUUCAUGAGAAAAAGUCAAAAGGAAGGCCAAAGGAAGGGUCAGAGCCCAGAAAUCUUCCCAAGCAGGCAUUGGAUACAGGAAGUAAGCAUGGUCAUAAAGAGAAAGCACUUUCCAGAUCAAAUGAACAGAUUGUGUCAGAGAAAUCAUCAGAAUCAAAGACAAAACUUCAAGAUGUUCCAUCUGCUGGUGGAAAGAAUGAGGCUGGAGGUGUGACUGUGACCACUAACUUGGACAAGGUGAUUGGUAAGAAAAAAGAGAAGAAAUCAGUAAUACCAGCUUUACCUAUGGACUCCACACUGAACAAGCCAUCUAACAAGUCGGGCAUGGAAGCUGCCUUGGAUGACCUGAUAGACACCUUAGGUGAAUGUGAAGGUACUAACAAAGAUGAACCACCAUAUACUGGACCAGUAGUUUUGGACCCAAUGGAUUCUACCUACCUUGAGGCAUUGGGUAUAAAAGAAGGGACUAUUCCUCCAGAGUAUAGGAAACUUCUGGGUAAAAAUGAAGGGAUCACAGAACCUCUUCCAGACUCUCCUAAACCUAUGGGGACUGACCAUGCUAUAGAUGCCUUGUCAUCUGAUUUCACCUGUAGUUCUCCAACUGAAAAGCAAACUGAGAAAGAGAAGUCUACUGGGGAAAUUUUCAAAGCUCAGUCUGCAGGAGUGACCAGAAGUGCUGUUCCCCCGCAGGAGAAGAAAAGAAAGGUGGAGGAGGAGGUCAUGAAUGAUCAAGCCCUUCAGGCUCUGUCAGAUUCACUGGGCACCCGGCAGCCAGAUCCUCAGAGCCACCUUAGCCAAGCUGAACAAGUCAAAGAGGCAAAAGCAAAAGAAGAAAGGCAGGAGAAGUGUGGUGAAGAUGAGGACACAGUCCCAGCUGAGUACAGGUUAAAACCAGCCAAGGAUAAAGAUGGAAAACCACUAUUGCCAGAGCCUGAAGAAACAUCUAAGUGCCUGAGUGAGUCAGAGCUGAUUGGACAGCUUUCAGCAGAUUUUGACCGAUCUACAUAUCAAGCCAAACCAUCAAUGCCAGCUGAAAAAAUUGAAAAAUCUAAGGACACAUCCCAAACUCCUGUGGGGGAGAUAGUGCCUCGGGACUCCAUGUGCAGUAUACAAUCAGCAUUACCCAAACCAGUAUCCUUGAAGGGCUUGGUGCCAGAUGAUGCUGUAGAAGCCUUGGCUGGAAGCCUGGGGACAAGGGAAGCAGAUCCAGAAUAUGAAAAAUCUGUGGUGGAUAAAGUCAAGGAGAAAGCUAAAGAAGAAGACCAUGAAAAACUUGGUGAAAAAGAAGAAACAAUUCCUCCUGAUUAUCGACUAGAAGAAGUGAAGGAUAAGGAUGGAAGACUACUCCAGCCAAAAGAACCCCAGGAACAACUUGCACCCUUAUGCAAUGACUCCCUUCUUGAUGCAUUGUCUCAGGACUUCUCCAGUCCUGCAAACAUAUCAUCUCUUGAAUUUGAAGAUGCCAAACUUUCUGCUGCCAUUUCUGAAAUAGUUUCCCAGACACCUGUUCCGAGCACCCACGCAGCAGCCCCACCACCUGGCACCGAGCAGAGAGACAAAGAACUUGAUGAUGCCUUGGAUGAACUUUCUGACAGUCUUGGGCAGAGACAGCCUGAUCCUGAUGAGAACAAAACACUAGAAGAUAAAGUGAAGGAAAAAAUCAAAGCAGAGCAUAGCGAGAAAUUGGGAGAAAGAGACGACACCAUCCCCCCUGAAUAUAGGCAUCUCCUGGAUAAUGAUGGGAAGGACAAACCAGAGAAGCCACUGACUAAGAAAACAGAGAAGCCUGAUCAGGACCAAGACCCCAUUGAUGCCCUCUCGGAAGAUUUGGAUAGCUGCCCCUCAACUACAGAGACCUCACAGAAUACAGCAAAGGAAAAGAGCAAGGCUUCAAGUUCCAAAGCAUCCAAGAAUGAAGAGAAAACAAAGGACUCCUCCAAGUGACCCUGUGGAGCUGAAGCAGGUGACGGAUGUUUAGCUAGAUAAUUACUCCUAAUGGAUAUGCAUAAAACAGAGGAAGUGCCCAUGCCUAAGGCUGGUGAAGAUGCAAGAUAAAGUUGAUGAACUUGGAUGUCUGAAUAGAAAUUCUUCAGCUGGUGGAUGGAGACUUUUGAAGAACAAAGGCUUUGAUGGCAAUUUUUUCUGGGUAUCUUCUAGACAGUAUUUGUUAUGUCGCUUGACAUCUUAAACACUGAGUUGUUAUUCUUUUCAAGAACAAAACAUGAAUUUGUCUGCUUCGCCUGUGCUCUGUGUUGAGUAUUGAUAAACUUCAAAGAUUUUUAAUUGCCUUUAGGUGGGAGAAGGAAGCUUUAUAUUUGUAAGAAAUAUGUUUCAUAGUUUCUUAAAACACCAAAAAUCCAAAAAAAUCUUUGCAAACAUUUGCACAUUAUAUAUACAGUGCCUAUAAAUCUCAUUACUAUGUUUGGUUUGCACUUAAUUGUUUUAGCAUUUGAAAAAUAAUGCUCUCAUCUUUUGUCAGUAUUCAGUUUCUUAUUAUGUCUUCUUCUUGGGCUUUGAUGUAUCUUUGGGUUAAUGUUAACAUGAGAUAUUGUACAUUUGGUGUAUAACUCCUUUGGGGAUGCUAAUAAUAAAUUAAUAAUACAUAACCCAGGUAAACCUUGGGAGCAACAA